rnacentral:rRNA from 1 species
GUGGGGAAUAUUGCACAAUGGAGGAAACUCUGAUGCAGCGAUGUCGCGUGAGGGAAGAAGGUUUUAGGAUUGUAAACCUCUGUCUUCAGGGACGAAAAAAGACGGUACCUGAGGAGGAAGCUCCGGCUAACUACGUGCCAGCAGCCGCGGUAAUACGUAGGGAGCGAGCGUUGUCCGGAAUUACUGGGUGUAAAGGGAGCGUAGGCGGGAUCGCAAGUCAGAUGUGAAAACUAUGGGCUUAACCCAUAAACUGCAUUUGAAACUGUGGUUCUUGAGUGAAGUAGAGGUAAGCGGAAUUCCUAGUGUAGCGGUGAAAUGCGUAGAUAUUAGGAGGAACAUCAGUGGCGAAGGCGGCUUUCUGGACUGUAACUGACGCUGAGGCUCGAAAGCUAGGGUAGCGAACGGGAUUAGAAACCCCAGUAGUCC